AAAAGAAAAAGACAUACCCUGACCCGCAGCCCAAACCCUAGCUAGCUCAGAUCCCCCAUUGCACCCCUCCUCCCUCGUCCCCAUCUCCUCGCCGCCGCCGCCACCUACUCCCCGUCCCCUGCACCACUCCUCGUCGCCAACCUACGGUGCCCGAUGCCGCCCGAUUCCUGCAGCCUCCGACGGCGCCCGAUGCCCUCCCCUCCGCUCCAUCCUCCCGUCGGGCAAGAUCCGCCGGGCUGUGCAGCACGACGGCGCCGUCGAUUUGAUGGUGCGUGGCAGCGGCUCCGACUUCGGGUUUCUGGUAGUGGCCUCAACCUUUCCUGGCACAAAAAUCCCCAUCCACAUCCUCUCCUCGACUCCCUCAGGCCUCGCCUCACCUCGCCGCCCCACCCACACCGACGACGCUCCCUGCCAGAUCCGCCAGCGCCGUCGUCGAGGUCAAGGGCUUCUUUGACCCGGUCCUUGACGGAGGGCAGGCUCGAGCACCGGGAGAUGACCUACGCGUGCUUCUACAUGGCCUAGAUCGAGCAAGGCAGGGUAGGGCAGUGAGACCCGAUCUGGUUUUGUGAAGGAAGGGGCCGGCCAUGGAGAAGAUCCCGCAGGCAUCAGAUCAUCCAUGGCGGCCUAGGAGGAGCCCCACCAGUUCAGUUUCGUCACUUGCUCCACCGGUUCAGAUCCGUCGUCACUCGAGCACGGGGAUGUCGGGUUGACUACUAUCGACGCCAACGGCGGCCGCCUGCCUCGUCAUCGACGACCACACCAACUGGCGUUGCCUCUCCCAUUCCAUGCCUGUUUAGUAGCUCUGUGUGGUCAUGUUUACAGUUGCAUGCAUAUGUUAACUAGGAUUAGAUAAAUGUUAAGAGACAAUGUCAUUUGGUACUCAAGGUUGCCUAAAAUUAAUCUGCCAUUGUUAACUGAAUGAACAGAAACAAUACUACAUGAGUUCCACUGGUUAGCUAGCUGUUACACAACUCUGCUCUAUGUCAUGAAUUUGGAUGAAGAAAAUUUGGUUGCUGGCCUAAAAAUUAACUGGUCUGUAAUUUGGUUGCUGCCUAAAGACGUCAAGAUUGCUGUGUGGUGGGGGGUUUCGUGUGCUUUUUCUGUUUUGAGGCGAAUGGUGGUGUAGUUAAAAUGUUGGGAUUCUUAAGGCAGGCCUCCAGUUCUGCGUACAUUUGUGCUUGAGUUGGAACCAACGCUUGCUCAUAAUAUAAACACAACUGUGUGCACAGUUUAGCUAAUUAUACUAGGGGUGAUCAAGAGUGCACUGCAGUGGAAUGGAUUAUUGGCUGUGAUACUUUUUUUUAUUAAUCUGCAAACACGUGUACAGUGCAUUGUUGCUAGUUUGCUUAGAUAUGUUCUGUUCUCAUCUUGGAUGAGUAGUGUUUUCUAGCCCAAUAUAUGUACCAGUUUAUGUCAAAUUGCAGACAAGUCCACCCUGGAUCUGCAUCUGCCAAGGUUAUUAAUAACAUAACUUGAUGGAAUUUUACUCUUUUAAUCACAAUAACAUAGCAGUAACAUGUUAUCACUUUGGAUGAAGAAAAUCAUUUGUAAUAAGUUCUUCCAUGUUUAAUUGCCUCCAUUGUGAAGCGGUGUUUGGUGUUGUAUCAUUUCCUGCUACAUGGUUCAAUCAACUACAGUAGUCAUUUCAUGCCUGGGACUUGCAUAUGUUCUUCUGCACUUGAAACAUCAACAUGUAUUUUUCCUUGUUUUCUGGAAUAAUUGGUAAACUUCAUAUUAUGCAAACCUGUUGCAUUUCGCACAAUCAAAGCUUGUUACUACAUCAGUUGCUUUCUCCAAGUGUCUUGGUCUUGGAUUUUAUCUCGAUAUGCACAACACUCCUAUAUUUCUGGACCAUAUGCUAUCUAGCUGUUGGGUGCUAAUUCUAGUUACUUUAUAUGAAGCAACAGUUAUCUUGCAGCCAUCUAAUAUGCAAUUCUAAUAAUAUUUCAUAUCCUGAUUUUUAAGUUGUAUAUGUCAUUCAUGCAUGAAUUCCUUUCUUAUGUACCAGCUCCCUAAUCAUGUUUUUUGUUUUUCGGGUUGCUAUCUUAGGAUAGAAUCCCUUCUCGUCUCUUGUUGUGAUUCCUGCCUUUGGUUUGAUUUUUUUUUUGUGCAGGUUGCUCAGAUCUGAUCUGGACGAGUUGUUGCUGCUCCCGCAGGUGGAUGACGAGGCCUCAUGGCUGCUCCCUACUCCUCCAACCACAUGACUUGGUGUGGUCAGCUCAUGUCAUGUCAUCUCAUCUCAUCUCACGCGCACAACAAACUUUGGAUUGUUCUAGACAUGUCUUGGUUCAGUAUUUGAAAAUUUGAUUGCUAUGGUGUUGGUUGAGGCUGGCUUGAGCAGAGGAAAAUCUAUUCCUUUUUUUGAUGAUCAUGGUGGUACUGCUGUCAUGUUGCUUCUUGUAGUUAGUAUACACAUGAACCUGAUAAAAUGGUCCUUGAUAUGAUGGAAUUAGUAGCAGUUGUGUGGGUUUACACUGUUGUGCCUAAACUACUAUGGUCGCCAAGCCAGCAUCCAUUGCAUCAAUCCUCAUGAAUUAGUGGACAAUGUACACAUAAACUCUAUGGAACAAUAAUGAUAGUGAUCCAGCACAAUAGUUUACUUAAUUCCUUUGCACUACCUUGCCGUUUGAUAGCUCUUUUAUGGUUUGGAUGUAUAUACGUGAUGGUGGGCUGUUGGAUGUGGAUUGUGAGUCCACGGCAAGACCAACCUCGAAACAUCAAGGUAUAUAUAUGGUGUGCUUAUGCAAAAGCUGUUGAUGUGCACUUAUAUCCAUAUUCACGUCUAAGAUCGUCAACUGAGAUGUUUCUAUUGUAAAUGUUUCUGUUAUGUGUUGCUUGCUCAUUCAUGCUUUGUUAGAUCUUUUGCUCGAAUUGCGAUAUUUAUUGUGGGCAAAUGUCAAGUACAUAUUUGUUACUUUAUAUUCUAGUGUUGUUUGUACAUGCUUUCUGGCAAAUGUUCUGUUAGCUAAUUUGAAGAUAACAGUGAGUGCUAGUGCUUAAUGUUUCUGUUCAUAUAGCUAACCAGCUGCUGUUGUGCAUAAAAUUGCAGGAUCUUUGCGUGUAAGUUCUGGCUGUAGUGUGCUCUCACGUUGUACAUGCCCCUAUGUUUAGUAAGAUUAAAUCGCUAAUCUUAAUGAUGAAUGGUUAAGUUUUUCAAUUUGAAGCAGCACCUACUUUCUGGUCCUGUAGUGUUUAAACUGAUAAUUAUGAUGCAUUGGUCCAUAUGGCCUUGUUUUUUAAUGCAUAUAUAUGAUUUAGUUGACAAGCCUUGAUCUCAACCUCUGAAGUUUAACAAACUGGUCUAUAUUACUGAGGAUGUAUAAUGUAGAAGUAUAUAAACCAUAAAUUCAAGCUUCUGAUGUAGCAUGCUCAAUAUAUACUGUUAUAGAAUAGUGUGUUCUACAAAAGGUUGAAACAGCAUGGUCUCGGUCAUUUGUCGGAAGUAGAAACACUAAGGCUGACAUCUUUUACACCUCACUGUUUUAUUUGUUUUUUCUAAUUUAAUUUUGUGGAUAGUAAAUUUGCAAUUGUAAAAAAAUGCAUUUUACGUUUCCAUGCCCUGUAGUGAUGAAGCAUGUGUCUCUGAUAUUCUGCAUGACUGAAAUGCUGAUAUCUUGUAUAAAUUUGGCUUUUGUGGGUAAUCCUUUUCCUUGCCACGUUCAGCUGCAUCACUAUGAUGCCCAUGAAGGGUGAUAGGAACCAUCUUCCUGCCGCCAUGAAGGGCCACUCGAAGCUGUCAAAAGGCACUUGUAUAGCUUGUGGAGGUGAUUAUACUUGUAGACACUUGUGGCUGUGAUUACAUUUGUAGAGCUUGUGGCUGUGAUUAGCAUUGUAACUAAGUUAUAUGAUGUAAUGGAAUUAUUUUGGCUGUUAUUUGAACUAUUAUGUGUGCUUUC